UGGAGUAUGUUGGUUUAAUUCGUACGCGAACGCGCAGAACCUUACCAGGUCUUGACAUCCCGAUGCUAUUCUAGAGAUAGAAAGUUACUUCGGUACAUCGGUGACAGGUGGUGCAUGGUUGUCGUCAGCUCGUGUCGUGAGAUGUUGGUUAGGUCCCGCAACGAGCGCAACCCCUAUUGUUAGUUGCCAUCAUUCAGUUGGGCACUCUAGCGAGACUGCCGGUAAUAAACCGGAGGAAGGUGGGAUGACGUCAAAUCAUCAUGCCCCUUAUGACCUGGGCUACACACGUGCUACAAUGGUUGGUACAACGAGUUGCGAGUCGGUGACGGCGAGCUAAUCUCUUAAAGCCAAUCUCAGUUCGGAUUGUAGGCUGCAACUCGCCUACAUGAAGUCGGAAUCGCUAGUAAUCGCGGAUCAGCAUGCCGCGGUGAAUACGUUCCCGGGCCUU
rnacentral:rRNA from 1 species